GGAGGAAAGGGCUGGCCGAUGCGGCAGAUUAAAAGGUCACGAUUGGGAAUCGGCCAAUUGAUGCUACAGUUGGGGAUCAGCUGAUUGGCGCUUCAAUGUUUUGGCAGACAGAGUUGGUGGAGAUCGGCCGAUUGGAAGACUGGAGCGAUUGGGCCAAUAUGGGCUUAAAAUGGGUCAGAGGAAGAAGAUAAAGAAGGAUUGGCCCGUGGGAGUACCAUAACCAACUCCGAUACGAGUUGUGUUUGUAAAUAUUUGUUUUUGUUUAAAAUUAGAGAUAGAUCCUAGUCGGUUAGGAAAUUGGUUGUAACAGGCUAUAAAUAGCCAUCCUUAGAGAUUUGUAAACAACACAUCAAUCAAUACAAACAAAUCUAUUUUUUUCCUUGUACUUUACUUUCAAGUCGGCGACUUCGCCAGAUACUUUUCUUCUUUCACGAGUUCGUACGGGUUGGCAGGGCUGCAUCAACUCGAUCUCUGGCCGAUUCUGUAAGUUCCGUUUAUCGAGUAAUAUCUAAGAUUUAACUUCGGGC
rnacentral:lncRNA from 1 species